ACCAGAGAGAGGGUGGAAGGUUAAACUGCUGGAAGAGGACUGUGGCUAAAUAAAGGUGCUGCGUGAGUGAGGCCUUAUUGGGGCAAACUGAACAAGGACCAACUGUGCUCUACCUGCAUCUCUGCUUCCUCGUUGAUUUACAGAAUGAGAUUUCCACAAAUUCUCAAGCAAAUGCAACUCACUCAAGUGUUCUAGAUCAAAGAAGCUCAGGAAGACGUGUUUCAAGUUUCUGACAUAAAAAAUAUAAAUUUUCAGAAAAGCCCUGGUAAGUUUCUAAUUAUUCGUUUAUUUAAGCAACUCUCAUUAAAAGCUGUCU
rnacentral:lncRNA from 1 species